CGGCCUGAGCUUUUCGCGAGUCGCCUCAGGGAGCGCUCGUCUCGUGAAGAAACUCGGGGUGAAGGCGCAGGCUCAGAAGCAGGAGCGAGAGCGACUUGACUCCUGGAAGGAGACUCCAGAGUAGCAGCAGCUGGAGGACGCCAGAGUCCCGGCCGCUGUGAGCUGUCGGCUGCCUUCCCCGAGGGCUUCGGCCAGGCUUCCUCAGGCCCGGCGGACCCGGUCCUGCCGCUGACUCAGUCGCGCUGUUGCCAGGAUAUGCUGAAGUCUGAAAAUUGCUCGGCAGGACCAGACAUAGCACAGGCCCCUUCUCUCAGUUUAACUUGUCAGUGACCACUAUCUUGAUAACUGAAAUCAGUGCUCCUGGUUCUUGGGCAUUUGGACUCAAACUGGGACUUACACCAUCACCACCUGAUUUUUCUGGUUCUCCAGCUUGCAGAUGGCAGAUCAUAGGAAUUCUCAGCUUCUAUAGCCAAGUGAGUCAAUUUCUAUAAUUAAUCUCUGCUAUGCCUAUUUAUAUAUCUACAUAUAUCGUAUAGGUUCUGUUUCUCUGGAGAAUUUUGACUAAUACAAUGAUGGAUAUGUUUGAAGUAGUAAUGUUUGAGAAGUGGUUGGUGGCAUUGAAAACCCACAUUAUGAAUAUCUAGUCUAAACUGACCUCUUGAGAAGGAAUUCCUGGGGUUCCUGUGGCGGUUGGAUGUAUUCAAGGGGAUUGUCUCUCUGCCUCCGAUUAGAAACCUCUUCUUUGACCCCAGA